GCAGUCGAGCGGUAGCACAGAGAGCUUGCUCUCGGGUGACGAGCGGCGGACGGGUGAGUAAUGUCUGGGAAACUGCCUGAUGGAGGGGGAUAACUACUGGAAACGGUAGCUAAUACCGCAUAACGUCGCAAGACCAAAGUGGGGGACCUUCGGGCCUCAUGCCAUCAGAUGUGCCCAGAUGGGAUUAGCUAGUAGGUGGGGUAAUGGCUCACCUAGGCGACGAUCCCUAGCUGGUCUGAGAGGAUGACCAGCCACACUGGAACUGAGACACGGUCCAGACUCCUACGGGAGGCAGCAGUGGGGAAUAUUGCACAAUGGGCGCAAGCCUGAUGCAGCCAUGCCGCGUGUAUGAAGAAGGCCUUCGGGUUGUAAAGUACUUUCAGCGAGGAGGAAGGCGUUAAGGUUAAUAACCUUGGUGAUUGACGUUACUCGCAGAAGAAGCACCGGCUAACUCCGUGCCAGCAGCCGCGGUAAUACGGAGGGUGCAAGCGUUAAUCGGAAUUACUGGGCGUAAAGCGCACGCAGGCGGUCUGUCAAGUCGGAUGUGAAAUCCCCGGGCUCAACCUGGGAACUGCAUUCGAAACUGGCAGGCUAGAGUCUUGUAGAGGGGGGUAGAAUUCCAGGUGUAGCGGUGAAAUGCGUAGAGAUCUGGAGGAAUACCGGUGGCGAAGGCGGCCCCCUGGACAAAGACUGACGCUCAGGUGCGAAAGCGUGGGGAGCAAACAGGAUUAGAUACCCUGGUAGUCCACGCCGUAAACGAUGUCGACUUGGAGGUUGUGCCCUUGAGGCGUGGCUUCCGGAGCUAACGCGUUAAGUCGACCGCCUGGGGAGUACGGCCGCAAGGUUAAAACUCAAAUGAAUUGACGGGGGCCCGCACAAGCGGUGGAGCAUGUGGUUUAAUUCGAUGCAACGCGAAGAACCUUACCUACUCUUGACAUCCAGAGAACUUAGCAGAGAUGCUUUGGUGCCUUCGGGAACUCUGAGACAGGUGCUGCAUGGCUGUCGUCAGCUCGUGUUGUGAAAUGUUGGGUUAAGUCCCGCAACGAGCGCAACCCUUAUCCUUUGUUGCCAGCGAUUAGGUCGGGAACUCAAAGGAGACUGCCAGUGAUAAACUGGAGGAAGGUGGGGAUGACGUCAAGUCAUCAUGGCCCUUACGAGUAGGGCUACACACGUGCUACAAUGGCAUAUACAAAGAGAAGCGACCUCGCGAGAGCAAGCGGACCUCAUAAAGUAUGUCGUAGUCCGGAUUGGAGUCUGCAACUCGACUCCAUGAAGUCGGAAUCGCUAGUAAUCGUAGAUCAGAAUGCUACGGUGAAUACGUUCCCGGGCCUUGUACACACCGCCCGUCACACCAUGGGAGUGGGUUGCAAAAGAAGUAGGUAGCUUAACCUUCGGGAGGGCGCU
rnacentral:rRNA from 1 species